UAUGCAGAAGCACGUGUAGCACUAUUCUCACGCUUUUGCUUUACUCUCCCUUCUCUCCCACUUUCUUCUUCUUCCUUCUUUCAACAAUGUAGAAUGUUCUCCACAUCUAUUCUCACGCUUGCUCUGCUGUUUGUCAAAUUCUGAUAUCGUCUUUAAUCUCUGUUUCACCCUCAAUUCCUCUUCGUACCUGUUGUAUUACGAUGAGUUUUUUUCUUAUGAUUUUUCUACACUUAUAUAUUCAUUCUUCUCUGGAUUUUUACUGUAUGUAUCAUCAAUUGUAUCUAAUUUACUCAUGCAUGUUCGAAAAUAGAAAUAAAUACAUAGAUGACUUUGGACCCUUGAUGAACAUAGUGCAUCCAAAAUUUUCACUUUUUCAAUAGUUUUGAUGCACAUAGUUAUGGUGUUUCUAUUUAUUUUGGGGUUAAAACUCAAAAGGUGAAGAAGAGGAAAUAGUUGAACGUGCAGAUGAAGUUUGGCUUAUUUUUGGGGACAAAACAAUCGAGUUUAGUCCAAGUUUGCCAGUGUUGUUCUUACUCUAGAGAGAUUAGAGUGGAGGGCAGAGUUAAAGAUUGAAUCCCUCACUUUAUGGAUAUGCAAAUGUUCUGUUAAUUGAUUAUUCUGCUCAUGCAUGAUUUUUUUCUCAUUAUCUUGUAGUAUCAACUAUCAAGUUCUUAAAUACUAACUUUUUUGGCCAAUAUAGUAUUUUUGCAGAUAAUGGUUGUGGUCACGUGUUUGACGAAAUUCCCCAAUGAAGGCAAUACUUAUUUGUUAUGAAAAUUGAUCAGUUUCAACAGCUGGGUUGUCUUAACAGAUGUUAAUGAAGUUGAACUAUCUACUAAGGGUGAGUAGAUGUUUAUCCUCUUGAUAUUAUUUUCCAUUUAGUAGUUUUCUAAUAAAAUUGAUAAAUUUUACAACUCUCGGGUGAUUCAUUGAGCAAGAAUUUGAGUUAUCGAAUUUUUUGGUGCUGCCAUGAAAUUAGCAAUUAUAUCGAAGGCUAAAAACUCAGGAAUACAAGCUUAUGCGAUAUAGAUGUAUUUGGGAGAUUCGGAUGGAUCUGAAUCUUCAUUCCUGUCUGAUAGUGCUUUGGCUGCUGCUAUGGCUACUGUCAUCAGAGCUCCACACAAGGAUUUUGUGGUUGUGAAACAAGAAUGGGCUGCUCUUCGAAUUCAGGCUGCCUUUCGUGAUUUUCUGGGGAACAGAUCUAGAUGAGUUAUAAUUUGAAGGUAACUGCUUGAUUGUAUGUUGAGAGGCAAACAAAUUCAGCUAAGGAAGUCAUCUUGGGAUACCUCAAACAACACACAAGCAACUUACUCCAUUAUUUCCUACAUGGAAAAGCAACAUACUCCGCCCACCACUAUUGAUAGGAAUUCCAAAAAGAUAAGACCUUUGGAGAUAAGUGAGAUGGAGGUGACAGAAACAACUACUGCAGCUGGUUCUUCAAAUGCAACUCUGAAAUUUGAACCACCCGCACCAACAAAAAAACUGUAAAAGGGGAGGGGGCAGCGAGAUCGGGAGGAGGAGUAGACAGCAAGCAAGAAAGGCGGAGAGUAGAAAGAGUGAGCGAGCUUGGGAGAGGGAGGAAAGAAGCGAGGUGCAAAGGACGGAGAGCGGAGAGGCAAAUGAGACUAAGAGAGGGAGAUGAGAGACGAGCAAGAGAUAUAUAUCUGUUAGAUAAUUGUAUAUAUGCAAAUAGUAUACAUAUGUAUCAAUGAUUGUAUUUGUAUAUAUGCAUAAUUGUAUGUAUAUAAUUAGUAUGUAUAUGUAUUGAUGAAUACAAUAGUAUUAAUGAAAUACAAUUUAUAUCAAUAAUUAAAGUU